rnacentral:rRNA from 1 species
UACGUAGGGUGCGAGCGUUAAUCGGAAUUACUGGGCGUAAAGCGUGCGUAGGCGGUUCGUUAAGUCAGCUGUGAAAGCCCCGGGCUCAACCUGGGAAUUGCGGUUGAAACUGGCGAACUAGAAUCUGGCAGAGGGGGGUGGAAUUCCACGUGUAGCAGUGAAAUGCGUAGAGAUGUGGAGGAACACCGAUGAGCGAAGGCAGCCCCCUGGGCUGAGAUUGACGCUCAGGCACGAAAGCGUGGGGAGCAAACAGG